rnacentral:rRNA from 1 species
UGAGGAAUAUUGGUCAAUGGGCGUAAGCCUGAACCAGCCAUGCCGCGUGAAGGAUGACUGCCCUAUGGGUUGUAAACUUCUUUUGCAGGGGGCGAAAUACGGGUCUAGAACCCGGGCUGACGGUACCCUGCGAAUAAGCAUCGGCUAACUCCGUGCCAGCAGCCGCGGUAAUACGGAGGAUGCGAGCGUUAUCCGGAUUUAUUGGGUUUAAAGGGUUCGUAGGCGGCCAAUUAAGUCAGCGGUGAAAUACCGGCGCUCAACGCCGGGGCUGCCGUUGAUACUGACUGGCUCGAUUCUGGGCGACGGUGGCGGAAUGUGACAAGUAGCGGUGAAAUGCAUAGAUAUGUCACAGAACACCGAUAGCGAAGGCAGCUGCCGAGCCAAGGAAUGACGCUGAGGA